CUUUUAAUCAAUUGGUCGCAGGUUCGAAUCCUGUUUGAGUUGAGCGCAGCGAAACAACGGAGCCGCUCGCGGCGACGGCCCGAAGGGCGAGCGAAGCGAGUCAUCCUGCACGACCCACCA
rnacentral:sRNA from 1 species